rnacentral:rRNA from 1 species
AGUAAUAGAGGAUGGAGAGGAGGAUCGAGAGUGAGGAGCGGUGGGUUGGCCGGCAGGGUCAGAUGUGUAGAAGAGGCAGGGUAGAGAAUACCAAGGCGCUUGAGAGAACUCGGGUGAAGGAACUAGGCAAAAUGGUACCGUAACUUCGGGAGAAGGUACGCCGCUGUUGGUGAUGGGACUUGCUCCCUAAGCUGAUGGCGGCCGAAGAUACCAGGUGGCUGCGACUGUUUAUUAAAAACACAGCACUGUGCAAACACGAAAGUGGACGUAUACGGUGUGACGCCUGCCCGGUGCCGGAAGGUUAAUUGAUGAGGUUAGCGCAAGCGAAGCUUUUGAUCGAAGCCCCGGUAAACGGCGGCCGUAACUAUAACGGUCCUAAGGUAGCGAAAUUCCUUGUCGGGUAAGUUCCGACCUGCACGAAUGGCGUAACGACGGCCACACUGUCUCCACCCGAGACUCAGUGAAAUUGAAAUCGCUGUUAAGAUGCAGUGUAUCCGCGGCUAGACGGAAAGACCCCGUGAACCUUUACUAUAGCUUCACAGUGAACUUUGAACCUAUUUGUGUAGGAUAGGUGGGAGGCUUUGAAGCGGUGACGCUAGUCAUCGUGGAGCCAAACUUGAAAUACCACCCUGGUAUGUUUGAGGUUCUAACUCAGGUCCGUAAUCCGGAUCGAGGACACUGUGUGGUGGGUAGUUUGACUGGGGCGGUCUCCUCCCAAAGAGUAACGGAGGAGCACGAAGGUAUGCUAAUCAUGGUCGGAAAUCAUGAGGUUAGUGCAAUGGCAUAAGCAUGCUUAACUGCGAGACAGACACGUCGAGCAGAUACGAAAGUAGGUCAUAGUGAUCCGGUGGUUCUGAAUGGAAGGGCCAUCGCUCAACGGAUAAAAGGUACUCCGGGGAUAACAGGCUGAUACCGCCCAAGAGUUCACAUCGACGGCGGUGUUUGGCACCUCGAUGUCGGCUCAUCACAUCCUGGGGCUGAAGCCGGUCCCAAGGGUAUGGCUGUUCGCCAUUUAAAGUGGUACGCGAGCUGGGUUUAGAACGUCGUGAGACAGUUCGGUCCCUAUCUGCCGUGGACGUUUGAGAUUUGAGAAGAGUUGCUCCUAGUACGAGAGGACCGGAGUGAACGAACCUCUGGUGUUCCGGUUGUCACGCCAGUGGCAUUGCCGGGUAGCUACGUUCGGACAGGAUAACCGCUGAAAGCAUCUAAGCGGGAAGCCCCCUUCAAGAUGAGAUCUCACAGGACUUUAAGUCCCUAAAGAGCCGUUCAAGACUAGGACGUUGAUAGGUUGGGUGUGUAAGCACGGUAACGUGUUGAGCUAACCAAUACUAAUUGCUCGUGAGGCUUGACCAU